rnacentral:rRNA from 1 species
CCUACGGGGGGCUGCAGUGGGGAAUAUUGGACAAUGGGGGCAACCCUGAUCCAGCCAUGCCGCGUGUGUGAAGAAGGCCCUCGGGUUGUAAAGCACUUUCAGUGAGGAAGAACGCCUGGUGGUUAAUACCCAUCAGGAAAGACAUCACUCACAGAAGAAGCACCGGCUAACUCCGUGCCAGCAGCCGCGGUAAUACGGAGGGUGCGAGCGUUAAUCGGAAUUACUGGGCGUAAAGCGCGCGUAGGUGGCUUGAUAAGCCGGUUGUGAAAGCCCCGGGCUCAACCUGGGAACGGCAUCCGGAACUGUCAAGCUAGAGUGCCGGAGAGGAAGGUAGAAUUCCCGGUGUAGCGGUGAAAUGCGUAGAGAUCGGGAGGAAUACCAGUGGCGAAGGCGGCCUUCUGGACUGACACUGACACUGAGGUGCGAAAGCGUGGGUAGCAAACAGGAUUAGAUACCCUUGUAGUC